AUGGACGGGCCGCGGAGGGAGCGGCGGCACCACCGGAAGGCGGCGCCGGCGGGGGCGGCCUCCUCCUACGGGGACGUCUUCGGCGGGCCGCCGCGCUUCGCCGCCGCGCCGUUCGGGGCCGCCGUGGUCGGGCCCCCGCUCGACUACGCCGAGGUGUUCGGGGGCGCCGCCGCCGCCUGCUCCAUCCCCUACCUCGACCUGCCGCCCGUCGCCGCCGCCCCCUCCGGCGCCGCCUCCGCGGGGGACUACCGCGAGAUCUUCGGCCGCUUCGGCUUCGCGGACUUCGCCGCGCCCUACGAGGACCUCUUCGGCGACGCGCCCGCUCCGGCGCCGGCGCCGGAGCAGCUGCACGAGGAGGAGAUCGCCUCGUCCAGCGGCGGGAGCUCCUACAGAUCAUCGAUAAACAAUGAAUCUAGGCUGGAUGCUGAGCAAUCUACACUUCAUCAACACUUCAAAGAGCAUGAGUCUUCUCCAAUUCCCUCACUUCCGGAUAGUCGGGAAUUUGUCAUGUCAUAUUACAAGACUACCCAAGCGAAACCGGAUGAUCUAGUUGAGAUGACUACUUGCACAGUUCACCCUUCAGUCGAUUAUGUGGUUGGUUCUUCCAAUUUUAAACCUGCCCCAGCAACUAACCAUGUUUCAAAAAUGGAUAAUGGUAUAAUGGCUAAUGGAGACAGAGGGAAGAAAUCUACAUCAACCGCCGUGACUGCCAAUGUGAGAAGUCCUGAGAGUGACUUCACUUUUGAUCAAAAGCAGUACAUACCAGAAUGUCCACCUCUUUCCGAAAAUGUUUCUGCGAAGGAAAGUAACCAGAAAUCUGAUAGUCAUGCAACACCCAGUAACGGAAAACCUUUUGCAGAUUAUGCAUUUAUGAGGGUAUCUACUCCUACUGUGCAAACACAACCAAAAGUACCAUUACCACCUUUGGGACAGCAACCUAAAGUGCUCAACAAGAAAGAAAGUGCAGCAAAAGGAGACUUCCAUUUUGCAAAUCACAGUGGCACUCCAACUUCUGUUCACACCCCUGCAAGUACCAAGCUUGCUCGGGCCGAAAAAAGAGCUGAUGCUGCUUUGUCUAAUACCGAGGGCAAUCCCAGUUCUGCUGCAGCCGCUAUGAAGGAGGCAAUGGAAUAUGCUGAGGCUAGGCUAAGAGCUGCAAAGGAACUGAUGGAGAGAAAAGGUGACAGUUUUAAAAUUAGGAAGAAGCCAAGUCAUCAUAGAAGCACAAGAUCUGUAGAAAUCAAGGCUCCUGUAGAAGUAUAUGCAUUUGAAGAAAAUCUGUCAGUGAAAAAGCCAGCAAAUGAAAAAAACGACUCUGAGAAUUUUGUGUUUGACAGGCACCAACAAGUUAGUGCAGUCGGAUCAAAUCAUCACGAUGAUAGUGGAAAAAUGGUACUGCCAUUGAAGAAGCCUCAGCAGAUGAUGCGAACUCACACUAUGCCCUGUCAAACCUCCAGUAAUAUAGAGAAAUUAGGUAACUGGAGAUCAGGUGAUGAAUAUUUUGAGCUCACUGGAGAUUAUCAGAAAUGCCAGAAUGGUACAGUCAGAGGGAAGGAAGAUAACUGGGAGAGAUCAAAGCCUGUCACUGAACCCAGCGAGGGUCAAAAGGCUAAAACUGAAGUUACCACACAAGGCUCUGGCCUGGAAAGAUACAAAAAACUGUGGGAUGUUAGUGGUGCCAGCGAUUUGGGAGUGAAAGAGGAAAAUCAGAAAGAAGUCAGUACAGUUCCAAUGGAGAAAGGGGAGGAUACUACAAUUCUGGAAACUUCUACAGACAAUAUGGCACAUAAAGGUAUUGAUAACACUCAGUUGGAGGGGCUUCUGAUUGUUGAAAAUUCUGAAGGAAGUCAUGAUGAUGGGAGUUUUGAGCUUCCUUGUAUGAGUGAGAUCACUCCCGAAGUAGACUUCAUCAAGGACGUUCCUAAUUCAUUAUCGGCUUCCUCUUCUGCUAACUAUGCUACUGAUCUAGGUAACAGUAGUAUGAGUGAAGGUUCACUAACAGGAACAUCAGAGGAGCCAAAAAAUAGUGAAGGAGGACUAGAGGUAAGAUAUGAUGAUGAGAUGCAAUGCAUUUCAGGGAAUAGUAAAACAUCACAAGAACCUCCAGAAGUUGCUAAUGCUGGUAAUUCCCAGGCAAGUCAAAUUAAAUCGUUGAUUUUAGAGGAACUUGAAGGAUCUUGUGUAACUCAAGCUUCUCCAAGGGUACAGAGUAAAUCUGAGCUUGAAGCUGAAACUUAUGGAAGGGAGAAGUUUAGUUUUGUAGGUGAAUCUUACCUACAUAAUGAAAAUGAGAAGAUAAUUGAAGUACCCCGCGAAUCGCUAAUCUCCGAAGUAAAGAAAGCUGAAGGUGAGGUGGAACUUCGUCCACACGCACAUUCUGAAGAGUCAGUUCCAGAUGAGGAUGUUGAAUGUCCUGAAGAGAGUGACAUUACUCAGCAAACCAAUAAUCCGGUAGUAUCAACCAUGCUGAACGUAUUUGAGAUAGCCAGCAAGUUCAUCAAAGGAGACCUUGAUCAAGAAAUCCAGGGUUCAUUAGGGCCCGUCGAAGUGAAAAAUAGAACAGAAGAAGGGACUGAUAGACUUGAGUCUGAUGGUAAAGGGAAAGAAGCAGAAAAACCCCACUCAGAAAACAGUGGGAAGACAGAUGUUGAAGUAGAGUCAGCUCAUGAUACUGAUAGACUUGAGUCAGAUUGUGAAAGUAAAGAAGCAGAAAACUCCACCUCAGAAAACAGUGUGAAGACAGACGCUGGAGAAGAAUCAGCUCAUGCUAACCAGGAGGAGCCAACAACAUCUGCAUCUGAUACCAACAAAGGAGAAAGUGUUGUGGAUGCACAGGGUAAUAUAACAGUUGAUGAAAUGGGCAGUGCAGUGAGUUCUGGAGAUGAAGUUACCAUCAACUGUGCUAAUGAUGGUCCCACCAGAUUAGCAGUAAAUACAACAGUUGAUGAAAUGGGCAGUGCAGCGAGUUCUGGAGAUGAAGUUACUAUCAAAUCUGCUAAUGAUGGUCCCACCAGAUUAACAGUAAAUACAAAGGACGGGCCAACUUCCUGUCCAGAAAUGAGUACUGGCUUGCAGCAAUUACCUCAAAAUGUGGAAUCUGCCACUUCUCAGACAUCUAAUGCAAAUGUUCCAAUUGCUGACAAGACCAAGGAGGCGUGCAAAGAAGCAGAAAGAGAAUUGGCUACAACAUUUGAAGAGAAUGGCAGUGUAAAUAGAAUGGAAGGGAAAGACUCUAGAGAAAGGAGAUCAAAGGCAGAACCAAAGCAUCAACAUUGUCAUCUGGAGAAGAGUGACAGUGCUACUUCUCAGACAUCUUAUGAAAAUGUUCCUGGUGUUGACAAGACCAAAGAGGUGUGCAGAGAAGCAGAAAGAGAAUUACCCACAGAAAGACGUACAACGUUUCAAGAAGAGAAAAGCAGGGUAAAUACAAUGGAAGGAAAGGACUCUAGAGAAAGGAUAUCAAAGGCAGAACCAAAGCAUCAACAUUCUCAUUUAGAGAAGAGUGACAGUGUACCAAAACCUGCAGAAAAGCCAUCCCCAGUUUCCGCCGAGGUGUCAGGAAAAGAGACACCUAGGGUUCAGAGAACCAAAGAGAAGGGAGGUAUAGCAGAAAAGGAAAGAGAGAAGAAGGACAAAGAGGCUUCUCGAAGACUGGAAGAGGCAAAAGAAAGGCAAAAGAUAUUGGAGAAAGAAAGAGAAAAUGCCGAAGUCAGUGAAAGGAAAAAAUUGGAAGAGGAGGAAAGGGAGAGGGAAAAGGAAAGGGUAAAGGAUAAGCUUGCUGUUGAAAGAGCUACAAGAGAAGCCCAGGCUGUUGAAAGAGCUAUAAGAGAAGCUCACGAGAGGUCUUUUAAUGAAGCUCGUGAAAAGGCAGAAAAAAUGGCGUUGGAAAGGAUUGCAGCAGCACGGCAAAGGGCUUCUGCAGAGGCCAAGCUAAAAGAAGAGAGGGCAAAUGCCGAAGCUCGGAUAAAAGCAGAAAGGGCUGCAGUCGAGAGAGCAACUGCAGAAGCUCGGGAGAGGGCGAUUAAGAAGGCCAAGGCCGAGAAGGCUGCUGCAGAGGCAAGAGAACGCAGAGAACAGAUCAGAUCCUCUUCCAAGAUUCAAACCCUGGUUCUGGAUGAGCAGGAUGUUCGACAGGACAAUCAGUUUCAGAGGGCAACUUCCAGUGGUUUCGUAAGAAACACAGAUUCUAGUAGCAAAGUGGUUGAUUCCGAGUCGGCUUUAAGGCAUAAGGCAAGAAUAGAGAGGCAUCAACGCACCACUGAGCGUGUGUCAAAAGCACUCGCGGAGAAGAACAUGCGUGACCUGAUGGCUCAAAGAGAACAGGCAGAGAAAAAUAGGUUGGCCGAUUUCCUGGACCCUGAGGUCAAGAGGUGGUCGAAUGGAAAGGAAGGAAACCUGAGAGCCUUGUUGUCCACUCUGCAAUAUAUCCUUGGAGCUGACAGUGGCUGGCAACCAGUGCCGCUUACCGAUCUCAUCACAGCCGCUGCCGUGAAGAAAGCCUACAGGAAGGCGACCCUCUGCGUCCAUCCGGACAAGGUGCAGCAAAGGGGCGCGACGAUCAGGCAGAAGUACAUCUGUGAAAAGGUCUUCGAUCUUCUAAAGGAUGCUUGGAACAAGUUCACCUCGGAGGAGCGCUAG
rnacentral:rRNA from 1 species